CACUCAGGUGCCCCUGAACUUUUUUUUUUUUAAUGGAAAAUUAUGCUAUUUUGAUUCCCCACUUGUCUGGAAAGCGACAGGCUCUACCUGGAAGGAUAGCUAGCAAGGAGGCUGUUAAACAGUAAACCUGAAGGCAGUGAUGGAGAGAGAAAGUCACUGCUCUUGGUCCCUCAUAGAAUCCAGUAUAUUGAAUAAACCCGGUGCAAGAAGGUUUUGGUGGAGAGAGGAUUUCAGAAUCCUAUUGUGUCACCCCACAACUGGGAAGACCCUCUCCCCAGAGAGGGAGAGGUGGGAGUGUUGAGCGCAUCUGCUUCCGGCUGCAGAGAUGUGGGGGCGUCCGGAGGCCCAUGAUUCUCCUGGGAACGCUGGAUGGUCUUGCUCUUGCCUAGAAAUUUGGGGAGAGAGGUAGCGGAAGGAGAGAGAAGAAUGGGAAAAAGGUAGACAGACCUGGGCUGAUAACUACCAACAUUCACGUGGGGAAGAGCAAGCAGAUAGCGUUUCAAAUCUGUGCUGGCAGGAGGAGCUGGGGCAUAUGGCCCCCCGCACGGGGAGGGAUGCAGCUUGCGGCUCCAUGGCUCUGAGUCAGACUUGAAAACGCUUCCCAAUGUGUCAGUGUAUGGCCUGCCUGAACCCUAAAACUAUAACUGGAAAACUUUCAUGGGUUUCUUGGGGACACCAAUUAGAUAAUCCAAGCCCACGUGUCUUCCGUCCUGGCUGGAUGAGCCUGCGUCCUUCCCUUCUGGAACAUGGAAACACAGCAGAGCAGGCCACACUCACAAAGAUUAAAAAUGGUGCACGGCACAUAUUGGGAGUAGGAUGUUGUUUUUGUGCUUACUUCUGUGGCUGCACGCGGUCUUCAUGCCCAAAGUCUUACCCACGAUCGUCCAGCAACAAAAUGACCUGGGAUUUCUCCUUUUUCCUUAGAAGUGGCACAGGAGAUCAUGGAGAAGUUAGCUCUGUGAGGAGCGCUCCAAGCCUUUGGGUUGUGGCAGAAAAAGCAGGGAGGCUACUUCGAUGCCAGAUCUACAAGGUGUGUGGUGGGAGGGAUUGAGCUGUUCUUAUUCUGCGAGUGAGUCUGAGAAAUGCUGCCGUGACUUGUGAGCUCGUGGACCCUAGGAAUGUGGAUCUUCCCCAAAAGCUGCCAAAUCAUCUGUCUCUGGGGGCACAAAUACAGUCAAACCCAAGGAGCCUGUGCUUUCUUCACUUAC